CACUAAGAAGCUAAAACGGGUUUAAGCGUUAGCCUUUUAAGCUAAAAACUGGUGCCCCCCAACCACCCUUAGUGA
rnacentral:tRNA from 1 species